CUUGGCGGCAGACAGGCACAGUGCUGUAUACAGGGCGGCAGAUUGGCACAGUGCUGGGUACAGGAGCUGCAGACAGGCACAGUGCUGUAUACAGGGCGGCAGAUUGGCACAGUGCUGGGUACAGGAGCGGCAGACAGGCACAGUGCUGUAUACAGGGCGGCAGAUUGGCACAGUGCUGGGUACAGGAGCGGCAGACAGGCACAGUGCUGUAUACAGAGCUGCAGAUUGGCACAGUGCUGGGUACAGGAGCGGCAGACAGGCACAGUGCUGGGUACAGGAGCUGCAGACAGGCACAGUGCUGUAUACAGGGCGGCAGAUUGGCACAGUGCUGGGUACAGGAGCGGCAGAUUGGCACAGUGCUGUAUACAGGGCGGCAGACUGGCACAGUGCUGGGUACAGGAGCGGCAGAUUGGCACAGUGCUGUAUACAGGGCGGUAGAUUGGCACAGCGCUGGGUACAGGGCAGCAGGGCAUGGCAGUGAUGGUAGUGGGCAUGGUGGGUACUUGGCUAUAGGCAGAGUGGGCAGUCAGCUAUAGGCACUGUCAGCAGGCAGGCUGGGAGGUGGGUUCCAGGCACAGUGGGCAUCAGG